rnacentral:sRNA from 1 species
AUGGCUGUCGUCAGCUCGUGCCGUGAGGUGUUGGGUUAAGUCCCGUAACGAGCGCAACCCCUAUCCUUAGUUGCCAGCGAGUAAUGUCGGGGACUCUAAGGAAACUGCCAGCGUAAGCUGUGAGGAAGGUGGGGAUGACGUCAAAUCAUCACGGCCCUUAUGUCCUGGGCUACACACGUGCUACAAUGGUAGGUACAAAGGGCAGCCACUUGGUGACAAGGAGCUAAUCUCUAAAAUCUAUCUCAGUUCGGAUUGGAGUCUGAAACUCGACUCUAUGAAGCUGGAAUCGCUAGUAAUCGCGCAUCAGCCAUGGCGCGGUGAAUACGUUCCCGGGCCUUGUACACACCGCCCGUCAAGCCAUGGAAGCUGGGAGUACCUGAAGUCGGUAACCAUUUAGGAGCUGCCUAGGGUAAAACUAGUGACUGGGGCUAAGUCGUAACAAGGUAGCCGUACCGGAAGGUGCGGCUGGAACACCUCCUUUCUAGAGCAAACAAUUUUUUUCAAUUGUUAGUCUUUUCUUCUCUUCAAUUUUUUCCCAUUAGCUCAGUGCGUUUACUGAUUGCUCAGGGCUAUAUUUAGAGUCCCUUAGCUCAGUUGGUUAGAGCGCUACACUGAUAAUGUAGAGGUCCGCAGUUCAAAUCUGCGAGGGACUACUAAAGCUAUUGGGGGAUUAGCUCAGCUGGCUAGAGCGCCUGCCUUGCACGCAGGAGGUCAUCGGUUCGACUCCGAUAUUCUCCACUAUCACAUAUAUAAUUAUUAUAUGGGAAAAGUUCUUUGACGUAUUUUAUAUUGAUUAAGAAAGAGUACAAAACAAAUUGUUACUUAUUUAAAAGCUAGUAAGAGCGUAUGGCGGAUGCCUUGGCUCUCAGAGGCGAUGAAGGACGUAAUAAGCUGCGAUAAGCUACGGGGAGGAGCAAAUAUCCUUUUAUCCGUAGAUUUCCGAAUGGGGAAACCCGG